rnacentral:lncRNA from 1 species
GGAAAAAACUAGAUGUCCAUCCUAAAUUCAUAAACCUCUGCAAAGAAAAGCUGCUCUGGCUUUGCUUUUCUGAAUAACAGGUUUCCCUACAAAUUUAGCUUUUUGGAAGCUCUAUUUUUUUUUAAAGGCUUUCAGAAUUACUUUAAGAUAAAGUAUCUUACCAGCCAGAAUUAUUUAAGAUACAAUAUGUAAACCAUAGUAGGGCUUAGAUUAAAUGCUUGUAACUUGCCACUUUUGCAGCCAUUUCAAAAAACUAUACUUAAUUUCAACUGCCUUAUGUUAUCCAUCCCCUACUUCUUACCCCUCUACCAGAAAUUUUAAAUAUCAAUUAACAAGGGUCUUAAACAAAUUUAACGCUGUUUCAUGAAGGACUAGGAAGACUACUGAAAGAGGAGUGAGACAAUUUUUUUACAUAAAAGAGCCAUCUGGUGAACCUAAUCACUCACGUUAAAUUACGUCAAACAACUUAAGCACUUUAAAAGUCACACUUUAAGUAUAACCCUUUAAAAAGAGUAAUAUAUUACCUUAAGUUCUAUGCUAUAUGUCAACACAUCUGUCACGGUUGGUGACAGGCAAUGUUUAUUCUGCUUAGUUUUUAUAGAAUUUAAAAUAUGUUACCAGCAAACAUAGAUAAACAACCAGAGUACGAUUAUUCAACAUUUGCUAUUAUAUUCUG